AUUGAACGCUGGCGGCAGGCUUAACACAUGCAAGUCGAGCGGGGGAAGGUAGCUUGCUACCGGACCUAGCGGCGGACGGGUGAGUAAUGCUUAGGAAUCUGCCUAUUAGUGGGGGACAACAUCUCGAAAGGGAUGCUAAUACCGCAUACGUCCUACGGGAGAAAGCAGGGGAUCUUCGGACCUUGCGCUAAUAGAUGAGCCUAAGUCGGAUUAGCUAGUUGGUGGAGUAAAGGCCUACCAAGGCGACGAUCUGUAGCGGGUCUGAGAGGAUGAUCCGGCACACUGGGACUGAGACACGGCCCAGACUCCUACGGGAGGCAGCAGUGGGGAAUAUUGGACAAUGGGGGGAACCCUGAUCCAGCCAUGCCGCGUGUGUGAAGAAGGCCUUAUGGUUGUAAAGCACUUUAAGCGAGGAGGAGGCUACUUUAGUUAAUACCUAGAGAUAGUGGACGUUACUCGCAGAAUAAGCACCGGCUAACUCUGUGCCAGCAGCCGCGGUAA
rnacentral:rRNA from 1 species